rnacentral:rRNA from 1 species
UACGAAGGGGGGCUAGCGUUGCUCGGAUUGACUGGGCGUAAAGGGCGCGUAGGCGGUUCGUACAGUCAGACGUGAAAUUCCUGGGCUCAACCUGGGGGCUGCGUUUGAUACGUGCGGACUUGAGUGCGGAAGAGGGUCGUGGAAUUCCCAGUGUAGAGGUGAAAUUCGUAGAUAUUGGGAAGAACACCGGUGGCGAAGGCGGCGACCUGGUCCGAUACUGACGCUGAGGCUCGAAAGCAUGGGGAGCAAACAGG